rfam:Gossypium raimondii chromosome 2, whole genome shotgun sequence.
AAUCUAUAGUGUGGGCAUUUUUGAAUCAAUAUUUUGAAACGUUCUCAUGCUUCAUAGAAACUUUCUCCCUCUAUCUGUGUAAAAACAACAAUCUCUCUUCUUAGUUG